rnacentral:rRNA from 1 species
GUGGGGAAUAUUGGGCAAUGGGCGAAAGCCUGACCCAGCAACGCCGCGUGAAGGAAGAAGGUUUUCGGAUCGUAAACUUCUAUCCUUGGUGAAGAUAAUGACGGUAGCCAAGAAGGAAGCCCCGGCUAACUACGUGCCAGCAGCCGCGGUAAUACGUAGGGGGCAAGCGUUGUCCGGAAUGAUUGGGCGUAAAGGGCGCGUAGGCGGCCCGGUAAGUCUGAAGUGAAAGUCCUGCUUUUAAGGUGGGAAUUGCUUUGGAUACUGUCGGGCUUGAGUGCAGGAGAGGUAAGUGGAAUUCCCGGUGUAGCGGUGAAAUGCGUAGAGAUCGGGAGGAACACCAGUGGCGAAGGCGACUUACUGGACUGUAACUGACGCUGAGGCGCGAAAGUGUGGGGAGCAAACAGGAUUAGAAACCCGGGUAGUCC